CCAGACUCCUACGGGAGGCAGCAGUGGGGAAUAUUGGGCAAUGGGCGCAAGCCUGACCCAGCAACGCCGCGUGAAGGAAGAAGGCUUUCGGGUUGUAAACUUCUUUUCUCAGGGACGAAGAAAGUGACGGUACCUGAGGAAUAAGCCACGGCUAACUACGUGCCAGCAGCCGCGGUAAUACGUAGGUGGCAAGCGUUAUCCGGAUUUAUUGGGUGUAAAGGGCGUGUAGGCGGGAGCGCAAGUCAGAUGUGAAAACUCAGGGCUCAACCCUGAGCCUGCAUUUGAAACUGUGUUUCUUGAGUGCUGGAGAGGCAAUCGGAAUUCCGUGUGUAGCGGUGAAAUGCGUAGAUAUACGGAGGAACACCAGUGGCGAAGGCGGCCUGCUGGACGAUGACUGACGUUGAGGCUCGAAAGCGUGGGGAGCAAACAGGAUUAGAUACCCCCGUAAC
rnacentral:rRNA from 1 species